rnacentral:rRNA from 1 species
UGGGGGAUAUUGCACAAUGGGCGAAAGCCUGAUGCAGCGACGCCGCGUGGGGGAUGAAGGCCUUCGGGUUGUAAACUUCUUUUGCUCUGAACAAGGCAUGCCUUUGGGGUGUGUUGAGUGUAGGGGUUGAUUAGCGCCGGCUAACUACGUGCCAGCAGCCGCGGUAAUACGUAGGGCGCGAGCGUUGUCCGGAAUUAUUGGGCGUAAAGGGCUUGUAGGUGGCUGGUUGCGUCUGUCGUGAAAGCUCAUGGCUUAACUGUGGGUUUGCGGUGGGUACGGGCUGGCUUGAGUGCAGUAGGGGAGGCUGGAAUUCCUGGUGUAGCGGUGGAAUGCGCAGAUAUCAGGAGGAAUACCGGUGGCGAGGGCGGGUCUCUGGGCUGUUACUGACGCUGAGGAGCGAAAGCGUGGGGAGCGAACAGG